UCAUUUCUCGUGAAACGGCGAACAACGGCGAAGUUUAGUUAAGUGAUUGACGGUUUUGGUGAGCGCACACUAAUUUAUCCUUAUUUCAGAAAUAUAAAUAAUUUAGGAGCAGAAACUCCUCAAUCGCUUAAUAACAGCUAACAUAUUUAAUAUAAAUUGAAAUCACAGUGUGUAAAAUGUGAUUGAAUUUAUGUGUAGUUAAACGAAAAAACAACAUAUUGUUACGAAACAACGAGUGAAUGAAUGCAUUGAAAAUAUACGAAAAUAAAAAAUGUAAGAAUAGUAAAAGCAAAGAAAUUGGGCAGAAAAUAUGGCGAUAGCCGGAGAAAAUCCAAAUAAAAAGAAGUGAAUGUUAUACAAAAAAAUUAUGUAUAUUUAUAAAUAAUCUGUUGAAAUGCUAUAAAAUUAUGUGCUUUCUUGUGUACAAAAUCGAUUGUUAAUCAGAUGAAAUCUCCAAUUUAUUCUUGGCGUUAUAAAAAAUAAAAGUUUCUACUCUGCGGCGCGUGUGAUUAAUCAGACUCUUAUUUGUAUAUAUAUCUAAAUAUGUAAGAUACUCCUGCGCAUAGGAAGCAAAUUUGGGUGGACGGAUAGACGUUCAGAAGUAGUCAGACGGUAAACAGUACCGCCGGUGCCUUUCGUUGGAGUACUUUGCAUUCAUUUAACAAUAGUAAUAUUCAAAUAGAUAUUUUUUUUGCGUUGAGAGAUAAACAACAACAAAAGAAACAUCGUAAAUUAGCUUAAGCGUUUGGAAAAUAUCGAAGAAUAUUUCCGCUAAAGUGUAAAAAUAACGGUUCAUCAACUCAAAUGCUCUAAAAAGUAUUUAUUUUAAUAUUAUUUGAGAAAUUCAUUCAUACACACACCGUUAGCCAAGCCGUACGCAAACGUUUUGAGUGUAGAGAUUGUGCAAGCGCACCAAGUGGCAAGCAAGUUGCUUGCCACAUGCAACACAGCGGGUCAAUAAAAGCCUGCUCACACAACCGGCAAUCAUAUAACACAUGAUUUUUCAGGAAAUCGGCUGAAUAAUCAUGAGUCGUCCAACACAGCAACGCACAAUGCCACAACCGAAGCCGCCGAAGCAGUACCUUACAGAGCAGGAGGCCAUCGCGGCCUCCGAGCUCUUCGAUCUCUUCUGCGUCGCAACGACAAUGCGCCAGAUUUUGGGUUUGCAUCGCGACAUGUGCGAUAUACUGGGCUUACGCCCAGCGCCGAUCAAUGAAUUCUAUCCGAUGCUGAAGGCGAAGAUUCGUUCGUGGAAAGCGCAGGCGCUAUGGAAGAAGUUCGAUGCACGUGCGGCGCAUCGCGUGUACGCGAAAGGAACAGCGUGCAAUGGCACGCAUGUGCUAGUCAUUGGCGCAGGUCCAUGUGGCUUGCGCACCGCCAUUGAGGCGCAAUUGUUGGGUGCCAAAGUCGUUGUGCUGGAGAAGCGCGAUCGCAUAACGCGCAACAAUGUGCUGCACUUGUGGCCGUUUGUCAUCACCGAUCUGCGGAAUUUAGGCGCAAAGAAAUUUUAUGGAAAAUUUUGUGCCGGUUCCAUUGAUCACAUAUCCAUACGGCAGUUGCAAAUCAUAUUAAUGAAGGUUGCACUGCUACUGGGUGUUGAGAUACAUGAGAAUGUGUCCUUUGAGAGGACCAUCGAACCGAGUGGCGAUGGCUUUGGCUGGCGAGCGGCGGUAACACCAGCGGAACAUGUGGUUUCAUAUUAUGAAUUCGAUGUUUUAAUCGGAGCCGAUGGUAAACGUAACACAUUGGAAGGAUUUAAGCGUAAGGAGUUUCGUGGAAAGCUGGCUAUUGCAAUUACGGCCAAUUUCAUAAAUAAGAAAACAGAGGCAGAGGCUAAAGCGGAGGAGAUUAGUGGCGUGGCCUUCAUAUUUAAUCAGUCCUUCUUCAAGGAGCUUUAUGAGCGAACCGGUAUCGAUUUGGAGAAUAUCGUCUAUUAUAAGGAUGAGACGCACUAUUUUGUAAUGACCGCGAAGAAGCACAGUCUCAUUGACAAAGGCGUCAUAUUACAGGAUUUCUCUGAUCCGGCGGAACUGCUCGCUUCAGGCAACGUGAGCGCUGACAAGUUGCUGGAUUAUGCGCGCGAAGCUGCCGAAUUCUCCACAAAGUACCAAAUGCCAAAUCUUGAGUUCGCUGUGAAUCAUUAUGGCAAACCCGACGUGGCCAUGUUCGAUUUCACAUCCAUGUUCGCCGCGGAGACAUCCUGUCGUGUGAUGGUACGCCACGGUCAUCGUUUGAUGCAAUGCUUGGUGGGUGACAGCUUGCUGGAGCCCUUCUGGCCCACUGGUUCGGGCUGUGCGCGUGGUUUUCUCUCCAGCAUGGAUGCGGCGUAUGCGACCAAACUCUGGUCAAACCCUCGUAAUAGUAUUAUGGGCGUUGUGGCGCAGCGGGAAAGUAUUUACAGGCUACUCAAUCAGACCACACCGGAGAAUUUACAGCGUGACACAGGCUCCUACACAGUUGAUCCAGCCUCAAGAUAUCCGAAUCUAAAUCGCACUGCUGUAAGUCCCUACCAGGUGAAAACGCUCAUUGACUCGGAUGAUCCAAAAGUAUUCGAGCAGCCAAUAGCCGAAAUUAUAACAACACCUGCGCUGGCUGAGGCGCCCGCGUUGUUGCGUAAAUCCCGUCGUAGUACAGAUAUUGUGCCUGAAGCUUUACUACAUUGGGUUUGCACUCAGCUGCAUAUGUACGAUUUCGUGAAGGAAUUACAUGAACCUGCCGACAUACUUAAGAAUGGAAAAUCACUAUGCGCCUUAAUUAGCCGUUUUCGGCCGGACUUAAUCGAUUACUCAGCAACACGUGACUUAACGCUCGCUGAACGUAAUGAAGUUGCCUUCAGAAUACUAGAAGCGGAAUAUCAACUGCCACGCAUCAUGAGCGGCGAGAAGUCUGUCGAACUAGAGAAAGUGGACACACGUCAUUGGUUGCACUAUUUGAAUCAAGUGCGCGAAGUGUUCCGCGGUGAAGUGCCGUAUCUGAAACAUCCCAAAAUGGAUAUUACAGAACUGCGCGAAAAAUACCGUCUCAACAAUGCGCAUGCGCAACCAGACUUCUCGAAAUUGUUGCAGCUUUCAACCAAACCGAAAUAUCCGAAAGCGAAGAGUCCCAUACAGGAUAUGGUGGACGUGCCGCAAGUGGUGCAACGUCGUUCGGUGUUGGAUGAGGAGCGUGUGAAACGCGUGCGCAGGCAUGAGCCGGCUGCCGGCAGUCCAGCGGGCGCAGGAAGUUCGCCACAACAAGGUCAAGCCGAUACACCACGUCGUGCCAAGAAGCGAAGAAAUGUCGAGAAGGCUGCUAAUAUUGAAGAACGACAAAAGCGCCUACAAGAAAUCGAACAAAAUCGCCAGGAGCGUGUAAGCAAGCGCCGACAACAACGUUACCAACAGACGCAGAACUUUUACAAGAGCUUGCAAAUGUUGCAAGUCAACACGUUGCUUCGUGAAACUGACGAUCCGACAGCAUUUGAGGAUUACUCGCUGUUCAUUUAUCGCCAACAUGCGCCGGAAUUCAAUGAUCGCGUCAAGGACUUGGAGCGCAAAUUGCUGUAUCCUGAUCGCAAUCGCGGCGAUAUACCAUCGGCCAUGCCGCGAAAUAAUCCUGAUGAACAGUUUAGUGAUCGCAUCAAAUCGAUGGAGCAACGCAUAAGUUCGAAGAAUGCUUGCGGCAACGAUAAGAAGCCCAAGGACUUAAUGCGCGCCAUUGGCAAGAUCGACAGCAAUGAUUGGAAUGUGCGCGAAAUCGAAAAGAAAAUCGAACAAUCGAAACGAACGGAAAUACACGGUCCGAAAGGACGUGAGAAGGUGCCGAAAUGGAGUAAAGAACAAUUUUUGGCGCGGCAAACUAAAAUGGCCAAACCGACACGUCAAGAGUCGGUGGAGGAGAAGUUCAAAGAGAUCGAUCAAACCUUAAAGAAUUUGGAUAAACAGCUGAAGGAGGGUUCGAUACUGGAAGUGGGUGAACGUGGUCGCAACAAGGUCGCAUCGAUUGCGGGACAAUUCGUUAAGAAAGAUGAUAAAACGAGCGACGAAAAGAAUCCCACUCCCGCCGCUGGCAAUAGCGUGCCAAAAUCAAGCGCUAAGGUUGCGUUAGCUUUUAAAAAGCAAGCUGCUUCCGAAAAGUGUCACUUCUGCAAGCAAAUCGUCUACUUAAUGGAGAAAAUCACCGCCGAAGAUCUCGUAUUUCAUCGUUCGUGUUUGAAGUGUCAUCAUUGUCACACAAAUUUGCGUCUCGGCGGCUAUGCAUUCGAUCGCGACGAUCCAAACGGUCGUUUCUAUUGCACGCAACACUUUAAGCUGCCAGCAAAGGCAAUACGUCCAAUAGCUAGAAAACCAGGACAAAGGAAGCCAACUCAACAACAACAAGCUGCUGCCGCUGCAGCUGCUGCUGUUGACAUUACCAUCACAGCAGCGGACGCUGCAAGUGGUAUUACACACACAGAUCUACUCAAAACGCCUGAUAAACUACGUGGUCCUGCCGACAACGUUGUACAGCUUGAUCUAUUGGAUCGUGGUCAAACGCCGGAACGUAUCGAAUUCGAGAAUACCGAUGCUAUGUCCGAUGGUGAACCUUCGGAGGAGCAUAUACUCGAUGAGCACGAGUGGUCGGGCAGAAAUUUCUUGCCGGAAUCGAAUCAAGAUUCUGAGUCGGAUCUCUCAAGUUCUGAUGACUCGGAUACUGAGUCCGAUGCUGAUAUGUUCGAAGAGGCAAAUGACUCACCGUUGGCCGCACAAACUUUACAAUUGGCCACCGAUUGGAUUGGCAAGCAACAUUACUCCGAUAGUGAUGAUUCGGAUGAUUUUUACGAUUCGAGUGACGGCAUUGCGGAUGAUGAUGGUAAAGACGAUACAGAAGGUGAGGAUUUCAAGAAGGCUCGUGAACUACGCCGUGAAGAAGUGCGCCUACAGCCACUGCCCGCAAACUUGCCCACUGACACGGAGACUGAGGUUAAAUUGCCAGCUGAAAAUAUUGAAAGCAUUGAAAAUGUAGAAAUGAUGCCAGUAGACAAUGAGACUGUUGAAGAGACAGUCUUAAAGCAAGACUCUAAAACAGAUAAUGAUAAAUGUUCCGAAAACUCAUAUAAUUCUGAAAAAUCCUUCAAGUCUGUUGAUUCUUUUGUCGGUGACAUAGCACCACUCGCUACAAAUACCACUUCUAGCGGACCACCACCCUCAAAAGCGGACAUUGAGAAGUUAGAACAGAGCACUGGACGCCGUUUCAGCGCCGAAAUUGAGGCAAUCAAUGAGAAGCUGCAUCGCCUCAAUAGCGUGGUCAAAAUGAAUAAAGAUAUCGAAACAAUAGCCAAAGAAAACUUAGUGAAGAGCGACAUACUCAAGAAACUAACAAUGAAAGAAAAGUGGUUGGCAGAUAACUCUGCGAGCAACUCCAAUCCACUAGCACCCAAGUCAGCGUUUGAGAAUCGCUUUGCGCCCAAACAGGAAGUGCUAAAAGAGCACAAAGAAAAUGCAAAAACUGCUGAUGAGAAUAUAAAACAGUCUAACACUACUUUGGCUGAAAGUGUUUUAGAGCAACUAAAAACUGAGUUGAAGUCGGAAAAAGUAAGUGAAAAUGUCAGCACAGAUAUUCCAAUAGCAGCGGCUCAAAAAGCCACUUCACCAGAAGAAGUCUUGGCGAGUUUGAAAGCGGAGAUCAAAUCGGCUUCGUUGAAUCGCCAAGGCAGUCUUAAAAGGCAACAACUAAGUCCGACUGCCAGUCCUAGCGCUAGCAAAAAGCCCAGUGCAAGCGCUAGUCGUUCCAAUAGUUUUAAAAGCAAAACAGUGCAGGAUAGCAAGGAAUCAACCGCGUCAGUUAGUCGAACGAACAGUCUUAAGCGCUCCGAAAAAUUCACCUCAAAGGACGAGGUCAUAGCAAAUGAUAGCCGUAUGCAAAUACAAAAUCUAUUGGGACUUGUGAAGAGCAUCGAUAAUAAAAAAGAAACAAACAUAGAUAGCAAGGACAGGGCGCUCGGUGCUAAUCGCUCGAAUUCAGACGUUGGUAAACUGCUUUACGAUGCGGAGAGUAAAUUUUCACCAAAGGUCGAUAGACGUUUGAUGCAGGAAAAACUGAAGGAAAUCGAAGCAAAGAGCUUCUCCGGCACAAUGGAUGCCAUCAAAUCACAAAUGGUGGUACCAACUGUUAGCUCACAAGCAAACUUAUCCGUAGAUCUUUCCAAAUACUUUCCCGAUCCGAAGCAGCAGAAAACAAAUUCCGCUGCGCUCAAUAAAAACCAAAAAAAUCUAAAGGACGUUGAUUUAGCGAAAUAUUUCCCCAGCAGUCCGACGCCACAACGACGAAGUGCCGUAGUCACAGUGGCAGAUAAGUUGAAGAAGUCGCAAACGGAAAUUGCCAUCGCGACUGCACCGGCAGCGAGCACCUCUGGUAACAGCGGUGUAGAUAAGGGAAACAAUAAAAAUUCGGCAACGCCGAUUAAGGCCAACAAACUUGCGCCGAAACGACAAGCUUCACUGGGAAACGCCGCUUUUAGUUUACGCGAUCAUCAAUUAGAUGGUGCCGUUGAUUUGUCAAAGAAGAGUACACCGGUCGUGGUCAAUAAGGGACCGGCAAUAAAAAGCGGUCCAGCCACGGUCACAACCACAAACGUAACGGCAGCUGUGACAAAGAAGGGUAAUGUGAAGAUCAUAAAGAAGGUUGUGCCCAAAAAGAAGGUGGGAGGAAACGCAACGAAAAAGCCUAAUGGCGCGCAAGAUAAGAAAUCAAUAGUGCCACGUGAUGAAUCCGAUCGUGUGCUAGAUGAAAUUCUACAAUCUACAGAUAAGGAAAUGCAUUCGCCCAGCGCGGAGUAUCUACAGCUAUUCAAGGAGGAGAAAUCACCAAGUGAGGAUAUUUCAGAUAAAAUUGAGCGAAUUUUCCAAGAAACCGGUAUUGAUUUAGGCAUUGCCGAGCAGGUAACUAGUAACAAUAAAAAGCGAUUGCUGAAAACCAAAUCACUUGGUGAGGGCGAAUUCGAGCGACUCUCAAAAGAGCGCAGCAUGGCAGCCGAUGAACUGACAACUAAAGAGGACGGCGAUCGUCCAAUCGGUGUACAAGGUUUGUUGGCACGUUUCGAAUCAAUGAGCUCGGUUAAAUCUUCGGAGCAAUCAUUCAAAUUGCGUCGCAUGGAGUCUACCCUGAGCAAUUUAAACAAGUCGCGCGAGUCAAUAGUUUCUCACGAUUCAAUUAUUUCGCGUGAGUCCGACUCUAUGAGUGAUUUAGAGAAGACUAUGGAGUAUCUGAAAUCUGAAUGGCGUAAUGAAGCUACUAAUUUUCUACAAAAGAAACGCGAUAGUUUCUUUUCAAAGAAACGAGCUAUUGAGGAAGAAGAAGCGGUGGCCAAAUCGGAAGCCUUGAAAAAAUCCAAAUACGAAGAAUUACCAGUACAAUAUCGGGAGUCAAAAUUUGCCAAAUUUUUCGGUAUCAAAGCGAAAUCUCCUGAAAAAAUUAAAACGAAAUCACCCGAGAAGAAAAGUUUGGCAACUACAAAAAAAGCUUUAGUUAAUGGCGGCACAGUGAAGAAGUCACCAUCGCCAAACAAGAACUUAAAUAAAAUCACUGAAACGAAAACAAAAACGUCUACAAAUUUGCAAGUUAACUCGAAGGAUGCUAAACGAAAGUCGCCUUCACCAAAGAAAACUCAAAGUAACGCUUCCGACAGUACAAAGAAUAACUCUAAAAAUGUUUCCAAACCAACAGUAGCAGCAAAGAAAUCGGCAUCGCCGCCUAAAAAUCAAAUGGAAGACUUCGAAACUUUGCUAUUGGUGGAAAAGGGUAGUAUGGUGAGCUCAGAAACCAAAACAUCGCCAGUUAAGGAACAAAAUGCGAUUGAAGCUCAAGUCUCUGGCGUUCAAAACACACAAAGCUUUUCGAUCGAGGCUCCGGAUGGCGUUGUGGACACAGCUACUGAAAUAGUUGCCCAGACCAAAGUUUUAUCACGUCAAAACUCCAAUAACUCUGAUCAAUCAGCACCAGAAACACCGGUCUUAAAAAGGCGACCUCUGGUGGAGGAUAUAAGAAAUUUGCCAAAAACAGGCUGUGACAAGUCAUUGAGCAAUUCACGUCGCAAUUCCGCAGCAAGUUUACAUUCGCGACGUUGUUCAGAUGUCUCUCUGGCCGAAAAGUUGGACAGUGCAGCUACAAAGCUAACGCAAAGUUCAUCGCCUGAUAGCAAUAGAAAUGUAGAUGAGUUGUUCCAAAAUAUUGUAGAACGCUUAGCUAACGAACACACCGAACAAAACACAAAUGCGGAAGAGGAAUGUGAUUCAUUGUGCACGUCGAUUAGUAAAAGUCCUAGCGCGGCACCAACUACAGUGCGGAUGCGUGGCUCGUCAGAAGAUGAAAGUAUCGAAAAGUUGUUUAGUCAGUUUUCCGACGAAAUGUUGGUGAAUGUAGAAUUCGAUUCGAACGAUGAAUUAGUGGGCAUAACACCACGCCUACCAUUGAAGAGCAAUGCGAUCGAAGAGGACGCAGAUUUUGUCGAUCGACUUGAGUCGCUAGAGAAGGAUGUGGUUCCCACAAUUAAAUUUGAAACAGUCGAAACAUCUAAAGCAACUUCUGAAAUCACACCACCCAAAGAGCAUAUAUCUACUACGAAUAUAAAAGCUGCCGGGCCCUUAUCACUAGAAAGUAUACAGGCAAUGCUUUAUAUGGAUCCACAAGAAAUGCCUUUCCCCAUACGACCGCAGCGCAGACAAAAAAGUACUUCAUCCUCUAGCGAUGCCUCAGCGCCAAUCGCACCACAACGCAUCAAGCACAAAUUAGCAAAGUUAUGCCCCGCCAAUAUGGCUCCAUCUGUGCAGGAUUUAAUGCAAACAACUUUUACAAAAGGUUUAACUGCUGAACUAGCAGCAAAUGGUGGCAUUUCAAUACACAAGUUCCCACGUAACAUAUCCGAAGAUGAAUUAGAGGAUGUGAAAGAAAAUCAUUACCAAACCCAGACUACCUCUAGUCUACGAUCAACCAACGAUCCAAGGAAUACAAGUACGAACAAUGUACAAAGGUCAAAGACUUCGAAUGAAGCAGCCACAAUUAAGAAUCUACCUCUGGAAACCUCUAACGUUAUGGAAAUAAAACAAAUGAAAGAUAGGAACACCAAAACCACGAAAGGUGAAGAAAGUACAGCCAACCAUUCUACUAACCAACAAACAACUCCAGAUAUCACCACUAUAAAUAAUACAAAUAUGAUUCCAGAAAUACCUGCCGAUACUAAGAUAUCCACAUCUGAAGAGUCCCCAAUUGUUCUGCGAAAAAAUUCACAAACCUCUAUUGAGGAAAAGAUAAGCAAUUUAACCGAAGCUCCAGUGAUCCAGCGGAAAUCUCCGCAACCUUCAAAAAACAAGAAAAUAGCUGAAACUGAAGAGGUUUCUAACUCUCUAAGGCGGCUUUCAAAAUCGUCAGUUGUAGAACAAGCAACCAAGCCCAUUACACAAAGUCCAUUAUUCGAACGAAAAUCUUCACAAUCUUCUACUCAGAAUGAUAAGGUACUGACUCCAAAUGACUCACCGAUUAUGAAGAGCAAAGCGACGCACUAUACCAAUGUUGCGCUUGCUGACUCUCCAUUAAUGCAGUGGCGAUUAUCACAGGCUUUGGAUAAUGCAGACUCAUUGGAUAAAACCUCAAGCUCAACAGAGUUGGCGGAGAAUAUAUCUACCACCACGAAUAAUAUAGACAAUUCGAAUGAAGAUCAAUCAAAAUCAAUGGGCAAUAAUGAGAUGCUGAGUGUUCCAGCUUCUAGUAAGGCCUCAAGUAAGGAGCGAUCAUUAGAAUGGGAUAUGACAAAAAUGCCCGCAAGCCCUAUGCCACGUCGAAAAUUCAUCCAUGCUGAACGUCUUGGUUUAGACGAAGCUAGAAUAAAAGAUGUAUCGCCUACGAGUUCAAUAAGACUGCUGAAUAAUAUUUCCUCCAACAGCAGUGACUCAGAGGAACGACGUGUAAUAGAAGAAUUCGAAAAAGAACGUCGUCAAGCUUUGGUACAGCGUGACAAAGAAUACAAAGAACUGGAGAAAAACGAAAAGGAUAAUGGAAAUAAACCAAAAGUAAAGAAGCCACCUGUGGUUAAUAAGUUCAACAGCAACAACAACUCUAUAUGCACAACACCGCGUUCAACACCGUUGAGCUCUCGUCGUGGUACCCAAGAUAGUAUUAGCACACAAAGGGAGGGCACGCCCCCAAACUUUAAAAAGCUUGUAAUACCACCGGAAGGUGAAGAUUUGCCAUCACUUAGUUCGCGUUGCAGUUCAUUUGCGUUUAUCGAGCUGAUGAGCAAUGGCGAAGCCAGAGAAGCACCGAUGCCACAAAAGUUGAAAAUUCCCACGAAACCACAGCCCAUAAUUAUGCCAGAAAUCUCAGAACCCAUAGCUGAAGUUUUUCAGAAUAGACCAUGGCCAAAGGCGGAGCUUUCGCCUGAGAUCGAUAUGAGUGAUUCACCCGAUACAGUAAUCGAGGUAAAACGUGCUAAUUCAGCACCCAAAUCACCAGUCGCCGAAGUGUUUCGUAAUCGCAAAUGGCCUGAUGGUAAAACGGUAUUCGACGAAGAAAGUGAACCAUACUCGGACGACGAUGAUUUCAUGAGGAAGAUCUCCAAGAAUAGAAGCAAAUGUCGCAAAAUGCAAUCGCAUUCACCACAACCGUCUCGACAUAGAUUAGCUACCGACGAACUGAGCGAUGGUAAAACAUCGUCAAAAUCAAUAUCAGAUCUACGAAAAGAUUCCCCUAUCCCCUCCAUCUAUGAAACGGAUCCUUCGCUUAAUUUCGGCCCACGCUCAGCACGCUCGAGUACUGAAAACUCGUCUGCGCAUACCUCGAUCAGUGGCGCGCCGAAACGUCCGAUGCGACACAUACCAGUUGGCCAAACGCCCGAACAAACAAUGGAUGCCAGCACACGCAUGCUCUUGGAUCGUAGCAAACGCUUGCAUAAUCGUAAAAGUGAGUUCAUCAACGAGCGCGCCGCCGAGCGGAAUCCAUAUUUACGCGACGUAGUCAACACAGAGCGCAUAGAACGUGAAGCGCUCGAUGCAGCGGAAGACGAUUUGGAUUGUUAUCGACCCAGUGGCUAUACGAGUAAACAGCGAACGCGUUUUCCCACUUCACGUACACUUGGACGCGACCACAGUGGAUUGUCGAACAGUCAUUACAGUUACACACCUACAUAUAAUUCGGAUUAUGCGUUGAGCAACCGACGCCUUUAUGGCACACCGACAUUACCAUAUAGCAGCACCGCUUCUCUAAACUAUAAUCCCUAUCUGCGCAGUAGCAGUUCGGCAUAUGGCGGCACCCUUGGACGCAGCAUGCAUUUCAACGACUACACGAGGCGUAGUCCUUCGCGACACCGCGACCUGGAACACUCCAAAGAAUCGUGCGUUAUAGCUUAGCAGACAUAUGCAUUCAUUUUAUUUUGUUAGAUGCACUAAAUUUCCAUUUAACAUUAGAUUUUGGAGAUAUUAACACAAUGCUUUCAACGAACAACUUAAAAGAAAAACGAAUGAACUCGAAAGAGCGCCAAGAAGCUGCAAAGAAAACAACUAGACACACACAUAUAUAUUGGCACAAAUGAAGAGAGUUGAAAACAUAAGUACAUUCACAUACUUAUAAGAAAUAUACAUAUAUACAAUUUUAAAUUAAAAUGAAAUUUAAUGAAAAAACUAAUGAAACCAACGCCAGACUCAAUAAAAUAGUACAACAUACACAUAUCAAAGUCUUUAAUUAGCAAUUAUACUCACACUAGAGAAUUAAAUUAAUAACUUUGAAUAAAUAUAAUCGUAAACACAAACAUAAACAAACACGAAAACCAAAAAAAAAUAUUCGUUGCAAUGCCCGUACGUACGACCCUCCAACGACCAACCAACGGACCAAGCAACCAACCAACAACCACUCAACCAAAAAACGUCUGCCUAACCGCCCGCCAGCUUGUUUACGCUCGGUGUGCCUUAAACACAAACAUACAAAAUCCUUGAAUGCGGUUAACAAAAUUAUCUCCCACACAUGCAUAUUUAAGAGAGGAAGCGGAAUUGUUAAAGCAAAAAUACAAAAAUUAUGACAAAGGGCCAUAAGUGAAAGAGUUGAGGCCUAACACUCCAUAAACAACCGGGUACGAUCUGUGAAGGUUCAAAGCGAAUCGGAGUCUACAUCGCCCGAGGAGGUUGAACUCAAUUCAGCCACGGAAAUAUCCACUGAUUCGGAGUUCGAUCACGAUGAAAUAAUACGUGAGACACCCAAAAUAUUCAUUGAUGAUACGCACCUCAGAAAACCAACAAAAGUUCAAGUAA